rnacentral:rRNA from 1 species
GGUCAAGAUAGAACGGGCACACGGUGGAUGCCCUGGCACCUAAGCCGAUGAAGGACGUGAUUACCUGCGAAAAGCCCGGUGGAGCUGGUAGUAAG